UCAGGACGAACGCUGGCGGCGUGCUUAACACAUGCAAGUCGAGCGGAAAGGCCUUCGGGGUACUCGAGCGGCGAACGGGUGAGUAACACGUGAGUAACCUGUCCUUGGCUUUGGGAUAACCCUCGGAAACGGGGGCUAAUACCGGAUAUGACCUUGUCCUGCAUGGGGUGGGGUGGAAAGUUUUUUCGGCUAGGGGUGGGCUCGCGGCCUAUCAGCUUGUUGGUGGGGUGAUGGCCUACCAAGGCGACGACGGGUAGCCGGCCUGAGAGGGCGACCGGCCACACUGGGACUGAGACACGGCCCAGACUCCUACGGGAGGCAGCAGUGGGGAAUAUUGCACAAUGGGCGGAAGCCUGAUGCAGCGAACCGCCGCGUGAGGGAUGACGGCCUUCGGGUUGUAAACCUCUUUCAGCAGGGACGAAGCGUGAGUGACGGUACCUGCAGAAGAAGCGCCGGCCAACUACGUGCCAGCCGCUGC
rnacentral:rRNA from 1 species